rnacentral:lncRNA from 10 species
GAAGGUGGGUAAACAGCAUCGCCUAAGGGGAAACCUUGGAAGCAUUGACUUGUGGGAGAACUUACCCAGCAGCGGAGACACUAAAAAAAUGUUUAGGUGGUCAUUCAUCUACCACUGUAGGUGGCUGUCUAUCAGGCCAGGGGCCUGGAAACGCCCGGUUCCUUUGACCAAGAGAGGCUUGAACAAGGCAGUAUUAAGUCAGCCACAAGAAAGGGCUUGCAACGGGAUUAUUAUUAGGAAAAUAAUAACUUCUAACUUCAGGGUAGAAAAAGGGAAGAGCAAUAUUCCUCUAGGGGGACCACAAUCUUAGAGGAAAUGUCAGUGCUAAAUACCUCAGAGCAUCUAGGUGCUGGCUAAAAUAACGCUGAAAACCCAGAGUGCCCAAGUUUCAACGAAUGAGGGUCCCCCUACUCCAAAUGUGAAGACCCCUGGGGCACCCAGGGUGGGGUUGGCCAACAGUGAACCCAAAACGAAGCUGGGGUCACUGAACAAUAUGACUCUGGCAUCUCAGGGUCAACACAGUAGGGGAUCUCUCACAACCAAGUGCCCUGCCUUUAACAACUGCCCAAACACAAAGUCCAAAGCAAACAAAAGACUGCAAACAAAACAUACAUCGUAGAACUAAAAUAGCAUGACUGGUGGAACAAUAAAAUGGAGUCAGAGGAGAACUGGGAGAGGGAUGAUGGGGACGUGCUUCAGGGCACCCAAACUGUGCAGGACUUUCGACUGACCAAUUAGCCAAAGGCUUUUAUUUUGUUUCCUAGCUCUCCCGAUAUUAUGGGGACCAUGGGGGAGAGAGGAUACUCACCCAUCCGCAGGAACCAAAAUGGCACUGACUGAUCUUCCACAUGGGACCCAGUUGAAUGUCUCUCCAGAUUUCCUCACCUUGGGUGGGCUUGGCUGUCACACAGGAUGUCUGGUGCAAAUGCUGGUAACCUAUUGAGCUGUUGGUUAGAGCAGCGAGUCUCACAUGAGGCAGCAGCACUAUGGUCACUUGCCCAUCCACUCAGCUCUGUUGCCUGCCAGGGAAAGUGAUGGCUCUGAAAAGAGCCUUUGGCUAUUAGUACAGCUCUAUAGUAUUAGCUAUUUAUUGUUACAGCCUUUGUGUUAUAGCUCUUGCAGCCUCUAUCACAGACUGCUUUGCUGUCUCUUGCCAUCUCUGCUUGUUGUCUCACUGAUCGGUCUCUUGCUGUCUCUCACGGUCUCUUGCUGUAUUCUUGCUGUCUUUGCUGACUGCCAUCUCCUCAUCUCUCGCAUUCUAUGGCUCACUGUCUUCAACCCUUUGUUAAUCACCGAAUGAUGGAGGGCAGCUGAGCCUCAAAACUGGGGCUUAGCCUAGGAGGGUUCUUGUAUUUUCCCAGGAAAGAAUUCAAAGGCAAGCCAGUAGUGUUAUACAGCAACUUUUAUUGAACUGGCAGUGUACAGCAGCAUCAGAGGUUCUGCUCCUUGUGGAACAGGGUUGCUCUGGGCACACUGCCUGUUGGGUAGCCCUUGAAUUCCUUCCUGGGUGAAGCUGAGAACUCUCUCAGGCUAAUCUCUAAUUUUGGGGCUCACCUGCCUUGCAUCAGUUGCAUCUAUGGCAGGCUGUGCUGACCCCAUAUGAGGCUCCAUUGCUAGAGUUGCUUUCUGGGUAGGGUCAUGAAUGGCCUUGUCCUGAACUCCCUUACCUGAUCUUCUUAUGGCCACAUUUGAGGAUGUUGCUAGAGUUUGGGGAAAAAAACAAAAAACAGUUGUGUAUGAUUCUUCAUCUCAUGGAGAUGAGAGAGCCACGGAUACACAGGUACUAGUGUGUGUGUGUGUGUGUGUGUGUAUACAUGCAUGCAUCAGUGUGUGUAAAACUACAAAUAUUCUGUUGCCUUAGGAUAAAACAAUAUGACUUACUUAAUACUAAGUUUCAGUAUUAUGAUUUAUAAAACAGUAGAAAGAAAAAAGUGCUGUGACAAAAUAGUGCACAAUUUAAACAAGAAGAAAAUACAUUUUAAAGGUAAUGUAAACCUCUUUCAAUGGACUUUGCCAGGUGGUGUACAGGACAGUGACCUAGGGCCCCAGCUCCUCAGGGCAAGCAUAGCAGGCUGUGUGCAGAGUACCUAGGUGUUCUUUCUGAAUGAUGUCUUUCCUGUAUAAUUUCAGGUGGAAUGAGGAAUGACCUCAUGUUAAUGAAUAGCAGUUUGAUUAUUGGUGAGGAAAUUUUCUCUUUAGAAUGAGAAUUAUUGUUCUGGGUUUGGAGUUCAUGUAUGGAACUCAGGGGUUUCUGACUCUUGAAAUUAUAUUGAAAUGUUUGGAGGUACUUGUAUGUAUGUGUUUUUUUCACAGAUAGGUUUGUAUAUGUGUACAUUUUUCUAGGGAUAGGUUCUGUAAUUUUUCUCAAGUUCUCAAAGGGGCAUGUGAACACUCCUACACUGGUUGUACAAUCAUGUCUUAAAUGAUUUAGGGUUUUAGGUCUUAGGGGUGGUGGAUUGAAUUAUUGUUCUAAAGUAUUCACUGUGCCUCCACAUUGGCACUUUCCUGGAGAAAGAUUAGAGUCCCACCCCACUGAUGUUGAGCUUGGCCAUGUCACUUGCUUUGAUUGUUAAAAUGAGUGGCUAUGACACAUGACACUCCUGAGCAAAAGCUUUAACAGCCAUUGUUUGAUUCUACCAUCACUCUUUUACUUCUGCCAUGUGACUGACAUGUCCCAAAGAGGAGCUGCAUCUACUUUCUUGACUGAGAAUGAAGAACUGGAGCUGAAGUUGACUCUGGAAUAUCUCACGCUGACCAGCCCAGUUGCCAGCUGAAUACCACUGAAUGAACAGCCAAACUGUCACUGGAGAUGAAGAGAGGGCCUUGGCCACUGUGCCAGGUGUGCCUGCUACAGUUCUUGGAAAACAGAGGCUGCUCAGUAGAGGAGGGUGAUAUAUCUUCCUGACAAAGCUCCUGCCAGGAGACGAUGUGCAUAACUCAGCCCUGAGCCUUUCUAUGAGCUCUGCCAAAUCCGACAGACAGGUGCUGACGACAGAAAGAUGAAUAAGAUGCUGACUCUGUCCUCGAGGUACAUACAAUCCAGUGGAGACACACAGUCUUGUGCAUGAAUAAGAACAACAUGGCAAUAAUGAGCAACAGUGCCUUUGUGGGGCAAAGUCAUGUGGUGCCACUUCCAUCUGUUUUAUUAACAAACAGAACAUGGUCUCUUAAAAGAGGCUUUUCUGGAUGUGCUUUUUGUUUUUUUAAGUGCUGAAAGGUAUGUACUACAUUCCAGAAGAUAAAUAUGCCCCUAGUUUGGCUCUCCCAGAGGAAGUGUGAGCAUUCUAAGAAGAGGCACAAUGGAACCAAACGUCUCAAGACUUGUGUUCUCUUCCCUACAUGGUUGGGAGACACUGAAAUGAGAGCAGGUGUUUUUGGGAAUCCAGUCUUCAUUUUCUUCAUCAGUAAAAGAGGGUUAAAAUAUUUGCUCUAUAAAGUCCCCUCUAGCUGUCUCAUUCUGAAACCCAAGGGAAGCUUUGUCUGGAUCAUUCAUUUAUAGGCUACAUUUUUGCCUUAGUAAUAGGGAAUACUAACUUUGAACCCCAAUAAAGCAAAAUGUUAUCCCCCAAGGAGAAUUAUAGUCUUCCCAUUAGUAGAUGUAUAUUGCAAAACUUGUACUUAAUUAUGAUUAUUUAAAAUUUUUGAAUAUUUGUAAAAAUUUUAUAGAAUUUUAAAAAUGCUUUUGAAUUUUAACAACUUGUAGAAUAUUUUUUUCUCUCUUGUCUAGCUAGGUACCUAUAUUAUAUCCUUGAUUUUGUCUCAUGUCCUGAAAAGCCUAAAAUGUGGAUCUUUAUCAAAAAAGAAUGCCAAAUCUUGUUUUAAAACUGGAAUGCUGUGGAACACAAUGUUUCCCAGAGAGAAAUCCCUGAAAUUCUAUUCCCACUGAUCUUCAAUGCAGAAGAGGUACCAUGGUCAAAUGAAGGCCCUGACAAUUCCUGAAGUAAUAACAAAUUCACGACCACAAUCAAAUGAACGUGCAAAUCCAUUUCACUGUGUUUAACUGAAUGUUUUUCAAUAUCUGUGAAGACAGACUGUUCAUUGGAAAACAAUCCUCAAAAUGCACAUUGGGCCCUGGCCGUGAGCUGGGUUCUGUCUGGCACACUCCUGUGUUCUCUAGGCAUGUACUUUUAUUCAAAGCCUCCAGCUGCAAUGGUAGGGAAGUCUAUGUUUGUUUCAAGUUAUAGUCUUUCCCCUUUGCUGGACCAUCUUGGCUGCAAACUGGGAGCCACACAUGCCGAAACAAUACAUUUUCCUCCAAAUCCUGGAACUGUUCCUUCCUAAAGUCCCAUGCCUGGAUGCCAGUGGAAGCAGUCUGGCCUCAGAUUGAGGAGAUCUGAAUCUACAGACAAUGUAAGACAUUGAAGUUGCUUUUCCUUAUAGAGGUGAGGGGUUUGAGUCAUGUCACUUACAUUCUCUUGCUUGGUUUCCCCUGUGACUCUAAGAACAUUGUGCAGCACACUGUUUCCCCCUCAGUUUCCUUGUGGGACAUCUGAACCCAAUGCAUGCAGGGGCUGAACUCUGUGAAGCUCUCACUGGGUUCAGAUGAGCAGGGCUUGUGCCCUAACUCCUCUCCCUCUCCAAGCACUACCAUUCCAAUAAUAACUGCUAUCUCUUUUGAACUUUGUGAACCACCUGAGCAGGCUAUGACACUAGCCUUUAGCAGUGGCCAGAGUGAUUCACAUGGCACCUGCAGGGCCAAACUCAUUGAGGGACAUUGUUAGACAGUGUUCAACAACUGAGGCAUAGAUAACAGUUGAAUGAGUGAACAAAUGCCAUUCAGCCCCAGAGAGUUGCCUCCUGGUAGGCAGGGACUUGUGCAGUGUGAGGAUUCCAGACUGCUGUCUGUGCAAGGGAUACUAUGUAGAGAGGAGGCAGGGCAGGAAAAUUGAACAAGCAUAGGUUUGAGUCCCAGACCCGCCAAGCAGCCAAAUAUCACCUUAAUCAAGUUUUAAAACUAUUCCUGGGGAUGAGUUUUCUUCUGGAAUACCUACCUUGCUAGAUUCUUGUGAUAAUGAAGGCUUCAUAAGGGAACUUAUGUGACAACUAUGAAGGAUCUGACACAUGGUAAGAACUCAACGGAUUACAGUGAUGAUAAAGCAGUUAUUAGGGUUGAAGGCCUCAUCAGCCAUCACCCCGUCGACUCCCUAUAUUCAAGAUGAGGUGACUUAAUCAAUAUGCCAGUCAGUGGGGGAACCCAGGUUUCCUCAGUCCUAGUUUAGUGCUCUGUUACACAUUUCUGCCUUCAAUUAUACAUUAAUUUCUGAAAGAAAAAUUGCAGUUCUAACCUUGAAUAUCCCUGUAAAUUCUGGCUUUGCAUUGAAACCCGAAGGAUGGGUACCUGGCCUCCAGUGUUUGUGGGCUGCUCAAUGGGACUUUUUAACCACAAAGCUGAGAACAUUGCCUUCUAGAAAGAGGGCAUCUCUCUUGCUGACACUCACAGGUUGCCAGGCU